ensembl:lncRNA
GGGACCCAGGAAGCUAUAAAUCCCCUGGGUUAGCACCUUUCAGGUCAGGGUGGAUCCUGAGCCUGCCUGAUGUGGAUCUCGUCUCCUGGCGUCUGAGCCGUUAGACUGCUCCAAGGACCACUACAGAAACAGUCCACCCGAAGCUGUCCGUGUGUUGGGUGUUUCCCAGGAAGAGGCAGGGAUGGGCAUGGCCACUCCAGGCUUCCAUCUUGCACCUCGGCAACCACAGAGAGUUGAACUGUAAAAAACCUGAGUGCCAAAGAAUGGAUGCUUUUGAACUGUGGUGUUGGAGAAGACUCUUGAGAGUCCCUUGGACUGCAAGGAGAUCCAACCAGUCCAUCCUAAAGGGAAUCAGUCCUGAAUAUUCAUUGGAAGGAUUGAUGCUGAAGCUGAAACUCCAAUACUUUGGCCACCUGAUAUGAAGAGCUGACUCAUUUGAAAAGACCCGGAUGCUGGGAAAGAUUGAGGGCAGGAGGAGGAGACAACAGAGGAUGAGAUGGUUGGAUGGCAUCACUGACUCAAUGGACAUGGGUUUGAAUGAACUCUGGGAGUUGGUGAUGGACAGGGAGGCCUGGCAUGCUGCAGUCCAUGGGGUCGCACAGAGUCGGACAUGACUGAGCGGCUGCACUGGACUGAACUGAACCUCAGAGGGGACAGCAUCCUCCCUGCUUCCCUCCGGCCGGCGGGCCCUGGCUGACGCUGCCCGGGCUUGGACCGUCCUCAUCACAGAGGCUGGAGAGAUGGACGCCCUCAUGGGGCUGCCUGGGAGUAGACCGCUCAGCACACUUGGAACACACAGCCUGUGAUGGAAGCAAACGGCUUCCCCAAGGAAAACUGGAGGGCGGGGUGCUGGGCUGUGGGGAAGGACACAGGGAAGGCUAACCAUGGUUGUUCCCCACAGUGUCCCUGAGCAUCCAGCAAGAAUGUAGAAAAGCAGUGAUUUGCAUUCUCUGGCCUGGAGAAUACCAUGGACUGUAUAGUCAGCGGGGUCGCAAAGAGUCGGACCCCACUGAGCGACUUUCGCUCGCUCACUCUGCUGAUGAGAGUACCCUAUGCUGUGAAAUGAAUGAUACACACAGAUGCUCACGGGCCUCCCCAGCCAACGGGCGGCUCCUGCUCUCAUGGAUUUGGGUGAGGGUAGAAAAUAGGCAAGGCCGGAUAAUGUGUAACCAGACCUAUUUGCCGCACAAGCAUGUCUGGAGAAAGUUAAUCUUUAAAUGUCUGCUCCUACCCUGUUGUCUGGACCUCUUAGAAGACAGAGAAUACCAUUCCUUUUCCUUAGACGGCUCUCCUCUCAGGGCUGUAUUCGGAAAAUAUUGAUUUGACUCCUUGAUUUGUUAAGCAGCAAAUCCAGCAAGUUUUAACUUGUUCACUUGAAUUCCAUAGCAUGGUUUUAAUCAGACCCAGUGCAAACCCAGGAACCCAACUGUAUUCUAAACUGGAUUCUUCUCUCCUAUCAGAAGAAUAAAUGGUGAAGCUCUUCAAAAUAUUUAAAGACUAAAUGUUUAAUCCCAGAACUUAAAAGAUGAAUAAAACAAGCAAAACAAAAAAAUUAAGGCAGAACCAAACUCUGGGAAUUCAGGACAUGUUGCCAUUGAGGACUUUGCUAUUUUUCUGCAAGUCAUUAAUGAUUUUGACUUUGGUCAAAGGCAGAACAAUUCCAAUAAGGAAUCGUUUAGUAGUAUUUUGGACUGUUUCCUUUAGUGUCAUUUUUUCUCUUUUCUCCUCAUUCAAUUUAAAUGACAAAUAUAAUGCAGUUGGCACAAUGGACAUUAGACUGUUCCAACAAACAGAUCCUCAGCUAUAACUCACCUGAGCUGUCCUUGAAUCUGUUUUUGGAAUGCGGGGUGAGGGUGAAAGCAGUUAUUACAUAGCAGAGUCAAAACCAUAUAUUCCUGUUGGUUCCUGACACUGGAGCAGAGUGAGAAGGGAAAGCGUCUUUGAGAAAAGAACAGCGAUUUUGUAACUCAAGGACUCCAGUGCCAAGCUCUGAGCUUUUGUUUAUGAUGGGUGGAUACUAAUGAGUUCAUCUCUUUUCCACUUGAUUUUUCUCAUUCAAUAAAACCACAAAGCUAUGUCAGUGUUUAUGUCUCACACACAUAAUUUGCAAAUACUUUGGCAAUAAUGUUAACAAAAAAGAUAUGAAGAUCAGGCAGCCUGCCUUGACCGCCUUCUGUAAUCCCUCUGCUGCGGCUACCUUCCCUGACCCUCUCCUACCACUGUAGUCCUGGUCGAGUGACUCUUAGACCAUUUCUCAUCACAUAAUUCCUUAUUUAUUUACUUAUGUUCGUUGAGUGUCUCCCUCCUUAGAAUAUAGAUCUGCAAAAGCUGGGAUCUUUGUAGUGUUCAUGGAUGUGUACUGAGUCCCUGGAACAGUAUCCGCCUGGCCCUUGCUAAGCUUUCGAUAAAGCAGUGAAUAAAAUAUGUAUAUAUUUAUUCAAAAUGAUAUGUAUAUAUAUUUAUCUAUUAUACAUGUAUACAAACACACACACAUGUCUAUAUAUAUUACCCUUCAGAAGACAUUAACUCUCAUUUUCUUAGAUAAGGUUGAAUUUAAAGCAGGAAUAUAGCCAUCUACUCUUACCAUGUCUCAAAUGCAAUAAGGAUACCAUGGAACACUAUCUCGUACUUUUUUUCCAACAGAAGAAAAAACUUUUCUUUUUCUGUCAUGCAACAAAAGAUAUCAC